AUUAUCAAAAAAUAAACAUUGAUGUCUUUGAGAAACUCUGCCCAAACAUUUAUUUCCCCUUGCAAAAUUUAUUUUCCCUCUUUGUCUAAUACUAAUUCAUGUUCUAAACUUAUUUCUCCUUUUUUCUUUCUCCUUCUCCAAAGCUCUUCAGUCCCUAGCUGUUGUAUAAAGAAAUUUCAGAGUUGGUGUCCACCUCUAGUGCCAGAUCGCCUUGGUGGUGCACGAUUGCCACACCACACACCAUGGGAGUGAUGCGCAGGGAUCUGAAGUCGGAGAAUGUCAUGUUCCUUCACAAAGAGGAAAAACCAUAGUUUAAAGCCACAAAUUUUUGUAUCCCUGUUUUCUUCAAAUCAGGAUUUGGUGUUCACUCUAAAUUUGUGUCUUCUUUCUAUUUUUACUUAGAAUGAAGACUUCUUUUUCUACUUGUUUGAAGAUUUAUGAGCUGUAGAUAGAAGGUUAUCUCGAGUUAAUGUGACGAAGGCGUGACCACCUCCUUAGAAGCUCCCUCAAGAAGGAUCACUAGAAGCAUGUCUAGAGGGGAGUCUUCUAUUCCAUCACCUUUAUCUUUGUUUUGUAUCAUUUUAGUUUGAAUUCCCUAAGUUGGUUUCUAGUUGACUUAUUUUGGUUGACUUGUUGACUUUGACCCAAAGUUGACUUUUGACCAAGAUUAGAUUAACUUAAACCAACAUGCUAACCCUUGUUUGUCUUGUUUUGUAGGUAAUUAAGAGAAAGAAGAGCAUGGCUAGGUGGCAUAUGGUGAUUAGAGCACAUGGAUAAUGUGGAAGA